ACCGUUUCACCUUUUCAUCACUUUAACCUUCAAUAUCCAAACACUUUUCGUAAUUUCUAUAUUUAAUAUCCAAACACUCAUAAAAAAUAUUAACCAAACGGAAACAAAUUUGGAACGAGCUUAAACGUCAUCACGUUGUUUGGAUCGCGUCCAUCAUCGUCUUCGUCAUCACUUCAAAAUGCUCAAGCUCUCGCUUUCUGAGUCCAUUGAAAUCUAACACACGCUGGAACAAGGAACAAUUUGGAUUCGUUCAGGAUCGACGUUAAUUAAAGAAAUAAGAAGUUUUAGAAUACUCAACAAAUUGAUUUAUAGGUGUGCACGACAUCAGAUUCGAACCUAAGCUUUGACGCAAAAUCCUUGAAUUCGCCAUUCAUCCUUACCGAGAACUAUGAGAGAAUUCAACUCCAUAAGCUUCACUAAAUUGAAUCUGAGCCAUCGAAAUUAAUUAUCCGUCUUCACCAAAACAGAAUCGAAAAAAGGCACGGUCGUGUGCAACAUUGAAGUGAAAAUUGAAAUGAAAUGGGAAGACUAACCGAAAUGCACCGCAGUUGAGCAACUACAAACAAAAACCGGAUAAAACUUGAAUCAUGAUGAUACUAUUCAUUCUGGCAUCUUCCUCUUCAUCACGGUGUUCGCAUUCUUGCUUCGGCUCGACCAAAAGGAGCAAACCGAUUACCGCAGAGGUGUG
rnacentral:lncRNA from 1 species